rnacentral:lncRNA from 1 species
GUUAGCUGUCUCUGCCACUGUAGAUGUGUCUGGGAUUGGGUAUCCUGUUUCUCUCUACCGCUCUUUCCCUCAUUCUGUCCACAGUGUAGCAUAAAGCCUGAGUUGAAGAAAGUGAAAAACUGUAUGGAUUAAUCAAGUCCCGCUCACAACAGAUGCCUAUCAGCUCCAAGCGAGACUUUGACCUCUGUAGAAAUCGACAAGCAAACAAGCAAGCAACCAACUGAACCACCCAGCCAUCCACACACCAGUCAACUGGCCAGCUCCAUAACCUAGUUCAGGAGGCGCCGAGGAGGGUGACGUUCUUGUCAUAGUUUACAUAUGGCCCUCAAAAAUCAGUUAAUUCAACAAACAAUGGUGUCAGAGGCUCUCCAGGGACAAAGAGGCUUCUGGUGCUUGACAGCAGAUGACUGCAGAGUCCGGCACCACCCCUCCAAGACCACAGAUCUUUGCUUCAGAAACAACGCUGGAUUCUCCAAGUUUAUGAACAAAAGAUAAACUAUUCAUGAGCAAAUAGCAAAACUGAGUAAGCAUGAUACAAAAUUAAUAAGACAUACAUUUUAGAGUAAAGGAAUUAGUAAUGAACUACUAUUUACUACAGAG